AAAAUACUCCCUCCGUCCGUAAAUACUUGUCACCAAAAUGGGUAAGAGGGGAUGUAUCUAAACUCCGUCCGUAAAUACUUGUCACCAAAAUGGACAAGAAAAAGGGAUGUAUCUAGACGUAUAUUAGAUACAUCCCCUCUUAUCCAUUUUGGUGACAAGUAUUUACGGACGGAGGGAGUACAUU
rnacentral:pre_miRNA from 1 species